UGAGGAAUAUUGGUCAAUGGGCGGAAGCCUGAACCAGCCAUCCCGCGUGAAGGAAGAAGGCCUUAUGGGUUGUAACUUCUUUUCUGUUUGAAGAAUAAGCUUGUCGUGACAAGUGAUGCCGGUAGGACAGGAAUAAGCAUCGGCUAACUCCGUGCCAGCAGCCGCGGUAAUACGGAGGAUGCAAGCGUUAUCCGGAUUUAUUGGGUUUAAAGGGUGCGCAGGUGGUUUAAUAAGUCAGUGGUGAAAGUCUGCCGCUUAACGGUAGGAUUGCCAUUGAUACUGUUGGACUUGAAUAUGGAUGAGGUAGGCGGAAUGUGUAGUGUAGCGGUGAAAUGCUUAGAUAUUACACAGAACACCGAUUGCGAAGGCAGCUUACUAAUCCAUGGUUGACGCUGAGGCACGAAAGCGUGGGGAUCAAACAG
rnacentral:rRNA from 1 species